rnacentral:lncRNA from 1 species
UUAUCCCUUAGAUCAAGCCACCUCGAGCUUCUCGGUUCCAUUGCGCGAUUUCGACCCUUCUUGUGAAUUUCUGACCUGCGAUCAAUCCCGAAUAUUUUUCCGCUCCCAUUCUGAUUCUCUGAAUAUUUUUAAUAAACUACAUAUGAUGUCUGAUAUCCUUUAAAAAUAUUUCCCGAGCCUCCGGUUUCCUCAAAGAAUUUCGUAAUACCGAAAUUAGGGUUUUUGCCCAACUUUGGGUUUUCCCAUCGUGCUUCAAUCCCGUCAUGCUUGCUUCCCGUCCUGCUUAAUUCCCGUCCUGCUUCCGACUUACAAUGUCUUCAGAAUAAUAUUUUACUGAUACAAAGAUAUUCCGAGAAAACUUUGCGAUGAAGAAAUGUCAAUCUUCAAAAACGUCGAGCUUCUAAACCGUCUUGCUUCAAAAAUGUGAUUCUUCCAAAACUGCCGUCUGAUCAAUCUAAGACACUUCUAACAAUGGUAGAGCAGCUUAUCUCAACUCAUGCUUCACUCACGAUCCAUUCUUCAAACUUCUCGUACUUCAAAUUUCCCGAUCGAUCUGUAUUGCCCGCGACUAAACCACAAAGAUACUCGACCAUUCUCUCUCUCUUUUCUUUUCUUCUUUUUUUUUUUUAACGGGUUUCUACAUUCUCCCCCCCUUAAUAGAAUUCGUCCUCGAAUUCUUAGUUGCGCAAUUGCUCGUCAUCACAACAUUCUCCACUCGUCUCCAUAACCUCUUUACUCUGUCCACAACUGUUCCUUGAGUGUCCUCUUCAAGGUCUCCACAAUCAUCUUCAUAUCUCAUCGCUGGAAUGAUCACUGAGUCAUCCUCUUUCUUUUACUCUUCCAUAACACCCUCAUUGCCCAUGAUACUAUCUUGUCCAGAUUCCUCAAAUCCUUUCUUGAUCUUCGUCUUCCCAAAUACUGAUGAAGUCCUUCCCCAGCGAAGUCUUGUUUCCUCCCAUCUGUCCAGUCCAUACCACUGUCCAGUUCUCUGAAUCUGCCUCCACUCUUUCGCUUCGGGUUUGGGUUUGG